AACGAACGCUGGCGGCAUGCCUAACACAUGCAAGUCGAACGAGACCUUCGGGUCUAGUGGCGCACGGGUGCGUAACGCGUGGGAACCUGCCCUUAGGUUCGGAAUAACUCCCCGAAAGGGGUGCUAAUACCGGAUAAUGUCUUCGGACCAAAGAUUUAUCGCCUUUGGAUGGGCCCGCGUUGGAUUAGCUAGUUGGUAGGGUAAAAGCCUACCAAGGCGACGAUCCAUAGCUGGUCUGAGAGGAUGAUCAGCCACACUGGGACUGAGACACGGCCCAGACCCUAAGGGAGGGCGGAGGGGGGAAUAAUGGAAAAUGGGCGAAGGCCUGAUCCAGCAAUGCCGCGUGAGUGAUGAAGGCCUUAGGGUUGUAAAGCUCUUUUACCCGGGAUGAUAAUGACAGUACCGGGAGAAUAAGCUCCGGCUAACUCCGUG
rnacentral:rRNA from 1 species